rnacentral:miRNA from 1 species
CCACAGACACCGCAGGGAAAGAC